GAUGAACGCUGGCGGCGUGCCUAAUACAUGCAAGUCGAGCGAACAGAUGAGGAGCUUGCUCCUCUGACGUUAGCGGCGGACGGGUGAGUAACACGUGGAUAACCUACCUAUAAGACUGGGAUAACUUCGGGAAACCGGAGCUAAUACCGUAUAAUAUAUUGAACCGCAUGGUUCAAUAGUGAAAGACGGUUUUGCUGUCACUUAUAGAUGGAUCCGCGCCGCAUUAGCUAGUUGGUAAGGUAACGGCUUACCAAGGCAACGAUGCGUAGCCGACCUGAGAGGGUGAUCGGCCACACUGGAACUGAGACACGGUCCAGACUCCUACGGGAGGCAGCAGUAGGGAAUCUUCCGCAAUGGGCGAAAGCAUGACGGAGCAACGCCGCGUGAGUGAUGAAGGUCUUCGGAUCGUAAAACUCUGUUAUUAGGGAAGAACAAAUGUGUAAGUAACUAUGCACGUCUUGACGGUACCUAAUCAGAAAGCCACGGCUAACUACGUG
rnacentral:rRNA from 1 species